CACAUCCACCACAUAGCCCCCCUUUGGCAUUUUCUGCUGAUUCCUGCACACACCUAGACACUUUUCCAGUUGUCUACCUCAGGACCACAUCCCUCGUCUGCAGCUAGGCGUUUGGAGGACAGGAACAGGACAGGGCACUCACACUCUACACCACCAACAGCACCACCACAGACAUGUCGGACUCAGAGACCGCCGCCGCCCCAGCAGAGGCCCCCCGUCCCCGCUGCAUGUGCCAGCAUCAAGGCUGACCUGGACAAAUGCGUGGCAGGGAAUGGACCAGAGGGCUGCAAAGACCUGAUGGAGGCUUUCGCUGCUUGUGUGAAGAGUGCAGCUGAGGGGACGUCAUGAGGAGUCGCCCUAUAACCUCCAAUGUCCACUGCACUGAGUCCUCCAAGUUCCCAGCAUUCCCUUCUGCACAACGGCACUGGACUGAAUGAUGGAGAAAGAUGAUUACGACCAUGGUGUUGCAUACAUUGUGUUGAUUCGAGCUGAAUUUGGGAUCUGGCGGCAGUAACCACAGUUUCCUCCCUCUGUCCUCCCCCUGCUUUAGGCUUAUCUGGUGUCCCUCAGUCUUACCACCAUUCCCCUUCUCCCUCUAUGGCUGACCUACAGCUAAUCGACUUGUAGACAAUUCCAGAGAGCUGAUGGGCUGUAAUGUUAAUUGUCGACUUGAGAUGAAUACUUAUAAAUGGAAAUAAACUAUCAAAUACUUGGUAUAAAAAUAAA